UACGAAGGGGGCUAGCGUUGUUCGGAUUUACUGGGCGUAAAGCGCACGUAGGCGGAUUGGUCAGUUAGGGGUGAAAUCCUGGAGCUCAACUCCAGAACUGCCUUUAAUACUGCCAGUCUCGAGUCCGGAAGAGGUAAGUGGAACUCCUAGUGUAGAGGUGGAAUUCGUAGAUAUUAGGAAGAACACCAGUGGCGAAGGCGGCUUACUGGUCCGGAUCUGACGCUGAGGCGCGAAAGCGUGGGGAGCAAACAGG
rnacentral:rRNA from 1 species